UACAAAUGAAAUGCCCCAGUGAGAUUCAUUGUGAGUUACAGACUGCUGUUUUGUUAUGUUUUUCUAAAUUGGCUUUAUCUGAAGCUCACUUCUAUGCUAAACUGAGGAAAAGUAUGGAGGACAAAGAAAAUUCCUCCGUUUCAGAUAGAGUCAGUUCAAAAGUUGAGCACUGCUCUGCAUAAGAGAAUUGUGGUUGAAUAAUGAAAUUUUAAAACAACACAGAGACGUACACUGCCGCUUACUUCCCCCUUGGUAAAACUAACAUGCAAGCGCAGAAGUAAACGUAAUCUGUGAUGAGAAUUUCUUCUGGCUUUCAAAACAUCAGCAAGGGGAUACUCAGGCUGUACAUUUGGGGCCUCUGCUGAUGCAUAACCUUCUCAAAAUUUAUUUGUGUGGUUGCUGCCAACAGGCCUCUGAAAAGCACCAAUGUUUUUGAAUUUCUGUUGGGGUCAUCUUACUCAGCGGGGAAGCCAUGACUUGGUGGAUGUAUCAGCUAUCCCACGGCUACGUAUGAUACGUUUCCUUUUCCUUUUGUGUGUGGGCAGCCAAUGUGAACUCAAUCUGUUACAAAACCAGACAUUAAGUUUUUCUUUUUUUUUUUUUUUUUCUUUCCUGGGAAACAGGUUUUACUCAUCUCAUAGUUGCCCAUACUGGUGGGAUUAGGUGGCCAUUGUGUUUGAUGGUUGGAUGGAUGGAUGGAAGGGAAAGAUGUCUGCUUAGGGUAAGACUGGCUGCGUCCAUUCCUUAGGCCUUUGAUUUG